AUAAGCUAUAUAAGAGCGUACGGUGGAUGCCUAGGCUCUCAGAGGCGAUGAAGGACGUGAUAAGCUGCGAUAAGCUACGGGGAUUGGCACACACAAUUUGAUCCGUAGAUUUCCGAAUGGGGAAACCCACUAUAUUGAAGAUAUAGUAUCCGUUAAGGAAGCAAACCCAGGGAACUGAAACAUCUAAGUACCUGGAGGAAUAGAAAACAAAAGUGAUUCCGCUAGUAGUGGCGAGCGAACGCGGAACAGCCCAAACCAAAAUUGUUUCGGCAAUUUUGGGGUUGUAGGACCACGANAUUGAAUGUUUAAUGAAUUAGAAUUCUUUGGAAAAAGAAACCAUAGAGGGUGAUAGUCCCGUAUAAGUAAAGAGAAUUAUUCAUAGUGGUAUCCUGAGUAGCGCGGGACACGUGUAAUCCUGUGUGAAUCUGGCGGGACCAUCCGCUAAGGCUAAAUACUCCUGAGAGACCGAUAGUGAACUAGUACCGUGAGGGAAAGGUGAAAAGAACCUUGAAUAAAGGAGUGAAAUAGACCCUGAAACCAUACGCUUACAAGCGGUCGGAGCCAUUCGUGGUGACGGCGUGCCUUUUGCAUAAUGAGCCUACGAGUUACCGUUUCUAGCAAGGUUAAGUACUUCAGGUAUGGAUCCGUAGCGAAAGCGAGUCUGAAUAGGGCGCUUUAGUUAGUGGCGGUAGACGCGAAACCGUGUGAUCUACCCAUGGGCAGGGUGAAGCUAUAGUAACAUAUAGUGGAGGCCCGAACCCGUUGACGUUGAAAAGUCUUGGGAUGACCUGUGGGUAGGGGUGAAAGGCCAAUCAAACUCGGAAAUAGCUCGUACUCCCCGAAAUGCAUUUAGGUGCAGCGUUGAUUUAGUUUUAUAGAGGUAGAGCUACUGAUUGGAUGCGGGGGUUUCACCACCUACCAAUUCUUGACAAACUCCGAAUGCUAUAAAAUGAUGAUCAGCAGUGAGGGCAUGGGUGCUAAGGUCCAUGUCCGAGAGGGAAAGAACCCAGACCAUCAGCUAAGGUCCCAAAAUGUAUGUUAAGUUGAAUAAACGAGGUUGAACUGCCCAGACAGCUAGGAUGUUGGCUUGGAAGCAGCCAUUCAUUUAAAGAGUGCGUAACAGCUCACUAGUCGAGCGGUUCGGCAUGGAUAAUAAUCGGGCAUAAACAUACUACCGAAGCUAUGGACUUGUAAAAGUGGUAGGGGAGCAUUGUAGUGUCGCCGAAGGGGAAGCGUAAGCUUCCCUGGAGAAGCUACAAAAGAAAAUGUAGGCAUAAGUAACGAUAAUGCGGGCGAGAAACCCGCACACCGAAAGACUAAGGUUUCCUCAGCUAUGCUAAUCAGCUGAGGGUUAGUCGGGACCUAACGCGAACCCGAAAGGGGUAGUGGAUGGACAACAGGUUAAUAUUCCUGUACCUGCUCACAUUAAACGUGACGGAGGCGUGGAUUUGGUGCGUACUGACGGAAUAGUACGUUGAAGCCAGUGGUAACACGGCAAUAGUACACUGAAACUUCGGUGGAUGUGAUAAUCCAGAGUAGCGACUUCCAAGAAAAACAAGUGAAGCAGCCCGUACCCUAAACCGACACAGGUAGUCGGGAUGAGAAUUCUAAGGUGCUCGAGUGAUUCAUGGCUAAGGAACUAGGCAAAAUAGACCCGUAACUUCGGGAGAAGGGUCGCCCAUCUUCGGAUGGGCCGCAGUGAAAAGGUCCAGGCGACUGUUUAUCAAAAACACAGGGCUAUGCUAAAUCGAAAGAUGAUGUAUAUGGCCUGACACCUGCCCGGUGCUGGAAGGUUAAGUGGAGGGUUUAGCUUCGGCGAAGAUCUGAAAUGAAGCCCCAGUAAACGGCGGCCGUAACUAUAACGGUCCUAAGGUAGCGAAAUUCCUUGUCGGGUAAGUUCCGACCUGCACGAAUGGUGCAACGAUCUGGACACUGUCUCGGCCAUGAGCUCGGUGAAAUUGUAGUAUCGGUGAAGAUGCCGAUUAACCGCUACGGGACGAAAAGACCCCGUGCACCUUUACUAUAGCUUCGUAUUGACCUUGGAUAAGUAAUGUGUAGGAUAGGUGGGAGACUUUGAAGCCAUAUCGCCAGGUAUGGUGGAGUCACCCUUGAAAUACCACCCUUUGCUUAUCUAGGGCCUAAUCUGUUUUCAGAGACAGUGCGUGGUGGGUAGUUUGACUGGGGUGGUCGCCUCCAAAAGAGUAACGGAGGCUUCUAAAGGUACCCUCAGCACGCUUGGUAACCGUGCGUAGAGUGCAAUGGCAUAAGGGUGCUUGACUGAGAGACCUACAAGUCGAUCAGGUACGAAAGUAGAGCAUAGUGAUCCGGUGGUUCCGCAUGGAAGGGCCAUCGCUCAAAGGAUAAAAGGUACGCCGGGGAUAACAGGCUGAUCUCCCCCAAGAGCUCACAUCGACGGGGGGGUUUGGCACCUCGAUGUCGGCUCGUCACAUCCUGGAGCUGGAGAAGGUUCCAAGGGUUGGGCUGUUCGCCCAUUAAAGUGGCACGCGAGCUG
rnacentral:rRNA from 1 species